rnacentral:rRNA from 1 species
UACGAAGGGGGCUAGCGUUGCUCGGAAUUACUGGGCGUAAAGGGCGCGUAGGCGGCACUGUUAGUCAGGCGUGAAAGUCCUGGGCUCAACCUGGGAACUGCGCUUGAUACGGCAGAGCUAGAGGAUGGAAGAGGCUCGCGGAAUUCCCAGUGUAGAGGUGAAAUUCGUAGAUAUUAGGAAGAACACCGGUGGCGAAGGCGGCGAGCUGGUCCAUUACUGACGCUGAGGCGCGACAGCGUGGGGAGCAAACAGG